UACGUAGGGUGCAAGCGUUGUCCGGAAUUAUUGGGCGUAAAGAGCGUGUAGGCGGCCCGAUUAGUCCGCUGUGAAAGUCCAGGGCUCAACCCCUGGAAUGCCGGUGGAUACUGUCGGGCUAGAGUCCGGAAGGGGCGAGUGGAAUUCCUGGUGUAGCGGUGAAAUGCGCAGAUAUCAGGAGGAACACCAAUGGCGAAGGCAGCUCGCUGGGACGUGACUGACGCUGAGACGCGAAAAGCGUGGGGAGCAAACAGG
rnacentral:rRNA from 1 species